rnacentral:antisense_RNA from 1 species
CUUCAGCGAGCCCAGCCACAGCGGUGCGCCGGCCGGCCGGCCCUGGCCGUAGGUCGCCAGCAGCGCCUGGGCCUC